GAUGAACGCUAGCGGCAGGCUUAAUACAUGCAAGUCGAGGGGCAGCACGGGUAGCAAUACUUGGUGGCGACCAGCAAACGGGUGCGGAACACGUACACAACUUACCUUAAGGUGGGGGAUAGCCCAGGGAAACUUGGAUUAAUACCCCAUAAUACAGGGGGCCCGCAUGGGUCUAUUGUUAAAGAUUUAUUGCCUUAAGAUGGGUGUGCGUCUGAUUAGGUAGUUGGUGAGGUAAAGGCUCACCAAGCCAACGAUCAGUAACUGGUGUGAGGGCACGACCAGUCACACGGGGACUGAGACACGGGCCCGACUCCUACGGGAGGCAGCAGUAAGGAAUAUUGGUCAAUGGACGGAAGUCUGAACCAGCCAUGCCGCGUGAAGGAUGAAGGUCCUCUGGAUUGUAAACUUCUUUUAUAGGGGGCGAAAAAGGGCCUUUUGAGGUCAACUGACGGUACCCUAUGAAUAAGCACCGGCUAACUCCGUGCCAGCCGCCGCAGUAAAAC
rnacentral:rRNA from 1 species